rnacentral:rRNA from 1 species
UACGUAGGCAGCGAGCGUUGUUCGGAAUUACUGGGCGUAAAGAGUGUGUAGGCGGUGUUCCCAGUCUGUUGUGAAAUCUCCCGGCUUAACUGGGAGGGUGCAGCGGAAACUAGAAUGCUAGAGGGUGGGAGAGGUAAGCGGAAUUCCUGGUGUAGCGGUGAAAUGCGUAGAUAUCAGGAGGAACACCUGUGGCGAAAGCGGCUCACUGGACCAUAACUGACGCUGAUGCACGAAAGCUAGGGGAGCAAACAGG